UACGUAGGCAGCGAGCGUUGUUCGGAAUUACUGGGCGUAAAGAGUGUGUAGGCGGUGCUCUAAGUUCGGUGUGAAAUCUCCUGGCUCAACUGGGAGGGUGCGCCGGAAACUGGAGUGCUCGAGCGUGGGAGAGGAAAGCGGAAUUCCUGGUGUAGCGGUGAAAUGCGUAGAUAUCAGGAGGAACACCGGCGGUGUAGACGGCUUUCUGGACCGUAGCUGACGCUGAGACACGAAAGCGUGGGUAGCAAACAGG
rnacentral:rRNA from 1 species